rnacentral:rRNA from 1 species
GCGAUGCCGCGUGAAUGAUGAAGGCUUUCGAGUCGUAAAGUUCUGUUCUUAGGGAAGAUAAUGACGGUACCUAAGAAGAAAGUCCCGGCUAAAUACGUGCCAGCAGCCGCGGUAAUACGUAUGGGACAAGCGUUAUCCGGAAUUAUUGGGCGUAAAGAGUUCGUAGGCGGUUCUUUAAGUCAGAAGUGAAAGGCAGUGGCUCAACCAUUGUAAGCUUUUGAAACUGGGGAACUUGAGUGUUGGAGAGGAAAGCGGAAUUCCUAGUGUAGCGGUGAAAUGCGUAGAUAUUAGGAGGAACACCAGUGGCGAAGGCGGCUUUCUGGACAAAUACUGACGCUGAGGAACGAAAGCGUGGGGAGCGAACAGGAUUA